rnacentral:tRNA from 2 species
GGAGCCGUGCCUGAAUUUCUAAGGACCACUUUGAUAGAGUGGCUUAUGAGGGUUAAAGUCCCCCCAGCUCCU